UAUUGCACUGGGCAUCGAUUUGGUGGGCUCCAGACUUCAACUCGAUUUUUUGAAACAUUGCACUAAGCAGCUCUGCCCUCUAUGGAUCUGCAUGGAGCCAUUCAGUGCAGGAAGUAAGAUAUGAAGUCCUCUUCCUUUUUUUUCGGUGGAAGAAUUAGUCCCCUCCAGUUUUCUACCACAUCUUCAUCUGUUGGCGGAAUGUUUGUUUCAUCAAGUUCUGGAGAAUGUGGCUGAGCUUGCAGUGAGGCUAGUGCUUCUGAAGAGGGGGACCAUUACUCCUGUCCAAAGUGGCAAGUAACUUGCAAGUCUUAUAAUGUGUGGAACAAUCUCAGGGAGGAAAUGGAUGUUAUCCCUGUCCCCACUGGCUGCAGCGAGUGACCUGCUCUUCUCGCAUAUGUUUGAUACCCAGUCUCGAAGAUAUUUUUUGCACCUCUCUGAUUCCAGAGGAACUCCAGAGCUAUCAUCACCCUCUGCCUCACUGAGGGCCACAACAGUG